rnacentral:rRNA from 1 species
GAUGAACGCUAGCUACAGGCUUAACACAUGCAAGUCGAGGGGUAACGAGAGGAAAGCUUGCUUUCCUUGUCGACGACCGGCGCACGGGUGAGUAACGCGUAUCCAACCUGCCCCCAACUAGGGAAUAACCUUGCGAAAGUAAGACUAAUACCCUAUAAUUUCCUCAGAUGUCAUCUGACGAGGAAUAAAGAUUUAUCGGUUGUGGAUGGGGAUGCGUCUGAUUAGCUUGUUGGCGGGGUAAGGGCCACACAAGGCAACGAUCAGUAGGGGUUCUGAGAGGAAGGUCCCCCACAUUGGAACUGAGACACGGUCCAAACUCCUACGGGAGGCAGCAGUGAGGAAUAUUGGUCAAUGGGCGGAAGCCUGAACCAGCCAAGUAGCGUGCAGGAUGACGGCCCUAUGGGUUGUAAACUGCUUUUAUACAGGAAUAAAGUUAGCCACGUGUGGUUAUUUGUAGGUACUGUAUGAAUAAGGACCGGCUAAUUCCGUGCCAGCAGCCGCCGUAA